rnacentral:rRNA from 1 species
UACGAGGGGGGCAAAUGUUGUUCGGAAUCACUGGGCGUAAAGGGAGCGUAGGCGGGUUCUUAAGUUAGGUGUUUAAUCCCGGGGCCCAACCCCGGACCGGCACUUAAAACUGGGAAUCUUGAAUAGUGGAGAGGUCAGUGGAAUUGGGGGUGUAGCGGUGGAAUGCGUAGAGAUCCCCAAGAACACCAGUUGCGAAGGCGACUGACUGGACACAUAUUGACGCUGAGGCUCGAAAGCAUGGGGAGCAAACAGG